rnacentral:rRNA from 1 species
ACGCUGGCGGCGUGCCUAACACAUGCAAGUCGAGCGAGGGUUUGCUCAGUAUUGAGUAUUCUAAAACUAGAAUGUUCAAUUCUGAGCAAAACCAAGCGGCGGACGGGUGAGUAACGCGUGGGUAACCUGCCCUAUACACAUGGAUAACAUACUGAAAAGUUUACUAAUACAUGAUAAUAUAUAUUUGCGGCAUCGCAGAUAUAUCAAAGUGUUAGCGGUAUAGGAUGGACCCGCGUCUGAUUAGCUAGUUGGUGAGAUAACUGCCCACCAAGGCGACGAUCAGUAGCCGACCUGAGAGGGUGAUCGGCCACAUUGGAACUGAGACACGGUCCAAACUCCUACGGGAGGCAGCAGUGGGGAAUAUUGCACAAUGGGCGAAAGCCUGAUGCAGCAACGCCGCGUGAACGAUGAAGGUCUUCGGAUCGUAAAGUUCUGUUGCAGGGGAAGAUAAUGACGGUACCCUGUGAGGAAGCCCCGGCUAACUACGUGCCAGCAGCCGCGGUAAUACGUAGGGGGCUAGCGUUAUCCGGAUUUACUGGGCGUAAAGGGUGCGUAGGUGGUCCUUCAAGUCGGUGGUUAAAGGCUACGGCUCAACCGUAGUAAGCCGCCGAAACUGGAGGACUUGAGUGCAGGAGAGGAAAGUGGAAUUCCCAGUGUAGCGGUGAAAUGCGUAGAUAUUGGGAGGAACACCAGUAGCGAAGGCGGCUUUCUGGACUGCAACUGACACUGAGGCACGAAAGCGUGGGUAGCAAACAGGAUUAGAUACCCUGGUAGUCCACGCUGUAAACGAUGAGUACUAGGUGUCGGGGGUUACCCCCCUCGGUGCCGCAGCUAACGCAUUAAGUACUCCGCCUGGGGAGUACGCACGCAAGUGUGAAACUCAAAGGGAUUGACGGGGACCCGCACAAGU